UCCGGGGGUCCGGGGGUCCGGGGGUCCGGGGAUCCGGGGUCUACGGCCAGCGCGGCCGCGUCACUGCGCAGCUCCGCCCCCUCCGCCGGCCGUGGGCCUCCAGGCCCCGCCCCCGGGGCCGAGCUCGGAGCCGCGGGGGCGCGGGGCGCGGGCGCCGGGUCCCCGCCGGCCGUGGCGGUGGCGGUGGCGGUGGCGGUGGCGGUGGCCGCAGGGGCGCGGGGCUGAGCCGUCGGCGGAAGUCCCCGGCGCCGCUGGGGGGCGGGACGGACGGCGCGGCCCGGGCCGGCGGGGGCUCGGCCGGCGGGGGCUCACCCGGCUGGCGCGAAGGCGGGGUCGCUCUGCCACGGCCGGCGGCCGCAGGCGGCGCCCAGACUGAAGUGAGCGCCCGAGCUUCACACUUUUAUCGGGAGGAGGAGCUGGUGUGUGUUAUGGCCAACCCUGCAUGUCUUCUCUUGGGGAUUUCCAGAGAAGGUGUACUUGCCAUAAAGGUCUCCCCAUCUGUUCCGGGGUCUUGCUUGCCGUUGCAAUCCUGCCUCAGCCUCUUCUUGCUGGGAGAGUUGGGCCUGCCCAGAUACCCUCCCUGCCGGUGGGCUUGGGCACUCCUCGUGGUACCUGCUGUCUGGAACCUCUUUUAGGACCCUGUGCCUCUGGUCACUCUCCGUGGAGACCCUGGGCCGCUCAUUGUAGCACAUGACUUCCCAGGCCACUGCCCAGAGUGGGCAAGGUCCCGCCUUUGCGCUGCAGAGAGAUGAGCCAUCUGAACACCCCCGAGAGAUGGCCCCCACUAGGCAAUGACUGGAACAUUUAAACCGCCACCACCACCACCCUGUGUUGGAGCCAUGGCCUAAUUAUACUCAUUUACCUGCAAGCUGGUACUGUAUGUAAUGCCCUCAAGGGAAAGCCUGCCGUUCCAUCCCAAAAUAGAAAUUCUGAGAUACAAAUUCUGCCUCGAGAGGGACUAAGGAAGGAUUUUUGUAGAACAGAGCUUUUCUUCUCCAAAUGAAGGGCAUUUCCUUUUUAUUUUACACUAGGACCUGAAUGUCGAAACCAUGUUGUUGUAACUUCCCUAAUGAAAUGCCUGCUGGAGAAUGGAAAGGCUAUUUUAGUUCUGGUCUCUCUUGCCAUAAAAGGCUCCGGAAUCAAGGGGGUUAAGGCUGGCCCUGGAACCGGGGCAGCUAUUCCUUAUAUUGUAUCAAAAGUCUUUCAUGCUGCCUGGCCUUUCAUGUAGCUCUGAAGCAGCUUUAUCGAUCUAUGCUAAGUAAACAUAGCUUUGUUUUCGUCUUCCACCCUCCGCCCUCCCUCCCGGCACAGACUGGAGUUGGAUCCCUUCCAAAGCGGCUGCUGCAGCAGCUCCAGCCGCCUCCUCCACACACAGAAGCAGGGUUUCUAGGGUGAGGCAAUGCGUCUGCAAUUCGCAGAGACAAGGCAGGAAUUGUAAUUGUAGUUCAUCAUGUGAUGACUUAUGAAAGAGGAAGUUGGUAUGUUUUAGUCACGUAGACCCUGCCCUCUUGCUUAAGGCUGCAGGUCCUUUGAGAAGAGCAUUAUGAUAAUCUUUGCCAUCCAGAGUCAAGGUUACCAGGUUGGCUGGCUGCAGGGUGCUCCUGUACAUUCGGACAUGGACGGGCAGGUGGAUGCUGCAUGACGGGUUGGUGGGGCAGUGGCUUGAGGCUGGCUUUUAACCAGAACACUGAAGUGCUGCAAUUUGGUCUUAAGAAGUAAAGGAAAUAUUCUUUGGGGAACACUUCUGCUGAGGUUAGAUGAAGCAACAGUCCUUUCUAGCUCUAAUUUCUAAGAUUUUUUUUUUUUUUAAAGUAAAAACCACAGUUGAGCAAAAGGAAAGCCGCUCUGUAUGAUACCAUCAAAAAGAAGGAAUAAGGGAAGUGAUCAGUUGUUAAGACCAAGGGAGCAGUUCCAGGUGAAAGCUCAAUGGAUGGAGCAAAUCUGAACUCCCCGCACUGAGAUUUACAUGGGCUUCCACUGCGUGAGCAUUAAACAUCUCAAAUCGGAAUCUGGUCCCCGGAGCUUACUCCAGUCGAGAUGCUCUUGUUAACACACCACAGCCCUGUCCUGACAGUCCACAGGGCAGUGUAAAAAAAGUGGUUCCUUCCAGAGGACCCUGAGGGAACUCAGCCCUGAGAACACGCAGCUGGGGGAGGGUUGCAUCUGUGUGCUGUCCACGAGGUGGUAUUCCUAGAGACUGCUGAGUUCAUGCACUUCACCCUAUACCCACAUGUGGACUCACAGCCUUCAUUCUUUAGAGUGCAGUUUCUAUUAAUAGCAUGAUGUUGCAACCAUACUAGAGCUUCUUAAACUCUGACCCUGGCAUAUUUGAAGGAGAAAAAAAAAAAAAAAAAAAAAACGCCAAACGCAGCCGCGUGUCACUUGGAUUUUUGUGAAUAACAUCCUUAGCUCCUUGUACUUGAGCAAAACUGCCAUAAGACUGGAAGAGCACAUGUGCUGCUCAGGGCUUUUCUACUUAAAAAAAAAAAUUAUGAAUAUGUACUUGAACAUACUUGUUUAAUGAAUACAUCUAUACAUGAUAUGGAGAGUCCUGACAUAAAUGAACCUUCUGUAGUAGAUAGGAAAGCCCUUCUUCUAAGUAAUAGCAUUUUAUGAGACAGUUCUACUGGUUUUCAAAUUGCAAUACACUUUUUUAGAAAUACUUUCCCUCUGUUUGACCUCUUCCUGUAGCCUGCCUCCCCUGUGCACAGAAAGCGUUCGGAUAUUAAAGAGACUUUUGCAUGUGGAGGAGAUAAACUCUCUGUGGAGGGUCUAAGAAUCAGGCCAAAUAAAAUCACAGGAGCCCUUAAUCA
rnacentral:lncRNA from 12 species